rnacentral:rRNA from 1 species
AGAGCGAACGCUGGCGGCAGGCCUAACACAUGCAAGUCGAGCGCCCAGCAAUGGGAGCGGCAGACGGGAUAGUAACACGUGGGAACGUACCUUUCAGUUCGGAACAACCCAGGGAAACUUGGGCUAAUACCGAAUACGUCCGUAAGGAGAAAGAUUUAUCGCUGAAAGAUCGGCCCGCGUCUGAUUAGCUAGUUGGUGAGGUAAUGGCUCACCAAGGCGACGAUCAGUAGCUGGUCUGAGAGGAUGAUCAGCAUCACUGGGACUGAGACACGGCCCAGACUCCUACGGGAGGCAGCAGUGGGGAAUAUUGGACAAUGGGCGCAAGCCUGAUCCAGCCAUGCCGCGUGGAUGAUGAAGGCCUUAGGGUUGUAAAGUCCUUUCGGCGGGGAAGAUAAUGACGGUACCGCAGAAGAAGCCCGGCUAACUUCGCGCCAGCAGCCGC